CUUUACUGUAGCUUUGCAGUGGUAUGAGGGAUUGUAUGUGUAGCAUAGGUGGGACCCUUUGAAGUUCUGGCGCCAGCCGGGAUGGAGGGGUUAGUGAAAUACCACCCUUACGAUCUUUCAUAUCUAACCUAGCCUUCGAAACGAGGGCAGGGACCCUGCAUGGUGGGCAGUUUGACUGGGGCGGUCGCCUCCCAAAGAUUAACGGAGGCGCGCGAUGGUGGGCUCAAGCUGGUCGGAAAUCAGCUGUCGAGUGCAAUGGCAUAAGCCCGCCUGACUGCGAGACGUACAUGUCGAGCAGAGACGAAAGUCGGCCAUAGUGAUCCGGUGGCUUCCAUGUGGAAGGGCCAUCGCUCAACGGAUAAAAGGUA
rnacentral:rRNA from 1 species